UACUAAGGGUAUAGUUUAUUUGUGUUAGAUUUAUUUUAGUUAUUUACAAUAGGAGUUUAUGUUUGGUGAAAUAAGACUAGUUAUUUUAGGUUAUAUUUUAUUUAGUAGGAGUUGUGAGUGAUUAGGAUUAGAUACCCUAUUAAUAUACAAGUGUAUUUUCUAGGGAUUAAAGAUAAAAUUAAAAUAUUUGGCGGCUGUGUAUAUUAAAGGGAUUUGCUAUAUUCGAUACACCUCGUUUAUUAUUAGUUAGUUUAUUUUUGUAUACCGUCAUUUAGAUAAUUUUGAUAGGGAUGAAUUAUGUUGAUAAUUUAUAUUAUAUUAGAUCAAGGUGCAGAAAUAAUUAAUUUAAAGUUAAUGACAAUAAUAAUUAUUACACGGGCUCUAAAUAAUUUUGGUUAAUAGGUGGAUUUAAUUGUAAUGAAAGUGUAUUGGAAUUAUAUUGUAGUGUACAAAUUGCCCGUCAUUCUCUGUGAG
rnacentral:rRNA from 1 species